CCGAACCCUAGCGCUCUCACCCUCUUAGCCCCGCACACCACUCCUCCUUCUGGAUAUAGACGCGUCGCCGCCCCCAACCUCACUCCCUCCCUCUGGAUCUCGACGCGCCGCCGCCCCCACCCCACUCCUCCGGCGUUCCCCUCACCCUCUCAUCCGCCUCCCAUCCCCUCGGCGGCGGCGCCCUCCCCAUCGCGCUCCCGAUCCAGAUCCCUCCCCUCCCCACCUCAGAUCCUCUUCCCUCUCCCCACUCUCAGAUCCAACUGGCCUGAGAGGGAAGCCGUCGUGGACAUGGCCGCCACCACCGACCGCGAGUGGGGGUCCUGGUCCUCUCCCUCGCUGUCCUCGGCGACGGCAUCUGGCCGCCACCCCUGACUGCGAGCGGUUCCUGGAGUGGCUGCUAUCCCUCGCGGCGGCAUCUGGUCGCCAUCGCGCUGGAGGCGCUGCUCCUGGCGCUAUCCCCCGUGGGGCUCGCGGGGUCCCUCUGCCCCAUCUCCUCGCCGCCACCAUCAACUCCUUGUCCCCCAUCGCGCCACGCCUGAUCCCGACGAGGACGUAGCAGUCGGCACCCUCGCGCAUGACGGCGGUGGCGAGGUCGGCGCCCUCAUAGAGCAGCACGCAGCGCUAGCUGCGGGGUCUGGCCAGCGAUGCCGCGGGGUUUGGCUAGCGAUGCCGCGGGGUCUGGCCAGCGAUGCCGCGGUGUCGUUGGUCGGACGGACGAUCAGAUUUAGUUUUGCUGCUUCGAUUGCAGGUAUGUAGAGCUAGAUUGUGUGCCACCGUUGCCGGAGGGUGCUAGCCUACCCGUCAGGGGCGCCCAGCAUGUGCUGCGCCAUGUGCCGAGCCAUCACCGCCGUGCCAGUCCCAGCGCUAGGUACUGUGUGCAGCCUGAUUUCCUUUCAGUUGUUCUGCUCUUUUCAUGUUGGCAUCACCUCACAACGUGUAGAACCAUCCUGAGGUUCAACUCUGGGAAUGUUGCUUCGGAAGUAGGAUGGAGUUUUGCAUUGUAUGAAAAAUGUUAUAAAAAUUAUGUAGAAACAUUUGUGAGGAGUACAUGCUAGACAAAGAGUUAUCAUGGGAUUUAAAUUUCAUUCUUCCCACAUGCAUGUUUAGUAAGGUCAGAUCCUUUUCUAUGUUUACUUCAGUUCAAGCUUCUGUGUGCCUAGUUUCACUAUCUGCUGCUUGUAAGAUACUUAAUCCAUGGCUGAUAAUAUCAGUGUCAUGGAUAAAUCUUAUGUUGCACCCUGUCAUUUGUUCUCAAGAGGCCAAGUGGUUUUCUGCAAAAAGCAUAUAGAAGUAUUGUAAAUUCACAGGAAAUGACAAAAUUAUUUAAAGUUUAUUUGGGUUGGAUCUGUAUAUACACUAUUUUCUUAAAACACAAACAUGUACAUUCAUAGCUGAAUAGAUCAUACAUUUUUUGGAUCUGUACAUGCAAUUUUUUGCACUGGAUUGGUGGUUAGUUUUAUGUACCGUUCGAAUUAUAAUAGAAUAGAAUUAGUAGUGCUCUGAUUUAGUUCUAAUCAAAAUCAACAGCCCUCUCUUGUGUUCCUGUUAUGAGAAUUGUUCCUUCAAGGAUAUGCAGAAUGACAUAUUUGUUCAAUCUUCAAUGUGAACAAUUGGUGUUUUCCUCUUAGUUUUGGCCCCUAAAUAUUUUUCUUGAAGCUCCACUGCCGCAUCUUGUUCCUGGUACAGCAAGUACCAGUUCUUGAGCAUUUGCACAGUUUUCUUGCAAAGUAUUCUGCAUAGAGCUCUAACUAAAAUGGCAUGUUCUUAGUUCUCACCUUUGAGUAGUUCUUAGUUCAUCAUGCUAUCUUGUUCCUUUCAGUAUGUGCCCAUGUAUAUUUAAGUUGCACCUGAUUAUAUAUAGGCAUAGCACGAGCUCGGGCUUUUAAGCAUGCCACAUCUCGUUCUGUUUAUGUAGCCACCACGUUACAUGUUCUGUACUUACAGUUCCUGGCGAUGUAUUCAAGCCUGUGAACACAUAUAUUUACAUGUACCCCUGUUUAUAUCAAGGCCUCCCUGGUAGGUUAUCUACCAAGUGGCAAACAAUUAGAUCUCAUGCUGAUGAAAUGAACUAGUUCUUUUUAUAUGAUGCAUUCAGAUUCAUCAUGUGAUUAUUAGUUAUUUUUAACCAAUGCCAGACCUAGCAUGUGUACACUCUAAUCUCUAAUGAUGUUUGUCUUUGUGUUCAGGAGCUCUAGGUCUACAAAAUUUGAAGUUCGAAACCAUAUAGCUCUACUCAGCAAAGAGUCGUCUCUUCUAUUUGAUUGUAAUAGAAUGCAAAUGUUUUAAUAUUGUAAUAGUAGGCAUAUCUGGGUUGUAAUAACUAUGUACAGAUUGUAGUAGACUUAGUUAGUUUUAUUUGAUGAACUACAUUUGUACUGUUCUGUUUGAAAUAUUGAUUAUGUACAUGAUUUGAAAACG